GGACUACCGGGGUAUCUAAUCCUGUUUGCUACCCACGCUUUCGUGCCUCAGCGUCAGUUAUGGUCCAGUAAGCCGUCUACACCGCAGGUGUUCCUCCUGAUAUCUACGCAUUUCACCGCUACACCAGGAAUUCCGCUUACCUCUCCCACACUCAAGCUCCCCAGUCUUCGGCGCACCCUCCCGGUUAAGCCGGGAGAUUUCACACCAAACUUAGAGAGCCGCCUACGCACUCUUUACGCCCAGUAACUCCGAACAACGCUUGCUGCCUACGUAUUACCGCGGCUGCUGGCAC
rnacentral:rRNA from 1 species